UACGGAGGUGGCAAGCGUUGCUCGGAAUUACUGGGCGUAAAGGGCGCGUAGGCGGCUUGACAAGUCAGAUGUGAAAGCCCCGGGCUCAACCCGGGAAUUGCAUCUGAAACUGUUGAGCUUGAGUCCUGGAGGGGAUGGUGGAAUUCCCAGUGUAGCGGUGAAAUGCGUAGAUAUUGGGAGGAACACCUGCGGCGAAGGCGGCCAUCUGGACAGUGACUGACGCUGAGGCGCGAAAGCGUGGGGAGCAAAC
rnacentral:rRNA from 1 species